AGUGGGGGGCUUACACAUGCAGUCGCACGAGAAAGGGAGCAUCCUAAGUAAAGUGGCGCACGGGUGAGUAACACGUGGAUCAUCUACCUUUUAGUGGGGAAUACCUCUGGGAAACCGGAGACAAUACCGCAUAAGCCUGUAAAGGGAAAGCAGCAAUGCGCUGAAAGAGGAGUCCGCGGCCGAUUAGCUAGUUGGCGGGGUAACGGCCCACCAAGGCGAAGAUCGGUAGCCGGCCUGAGAGGGCACACGGCCACACUGGCACUGAAACACGGGCCAGACUCCUACGGGAGGCAGCAGUGGGGAAUCUUGCACAAUGGACGAAAGUCUGAUGCAGCGACGCCGCGUGAGCGAUGAAGCCCUUCGGGGUGUAAAGCUCUUUCGACGGGAACGAUAAUGACGGUACCCGGAGAAGAAGCUGCGGCUAACUACGUGCCAGCAGCCGCGGUAAUACGUAGGCAGCGAGCGUUGUUCGGAAUUACUGGGCGUAAAGAGUGUGUAGGCGGUGUUCCCAGUCUGUUGUGAAAUCUCCCGGCUUAACUGGGAGGGUGCAGCGGAAACUAGAAUGCUAGAGGGUGGGAGAGGUAAGCGGAAUUCCUGGUGUAGCGGUGAAAUGCGUAGAUUCAGGAGGAACACCUGUGGUGUAGACAGCUUACUGGACCACUUCUGACGCUUGGAGACACGGAAA
rnacentral:rRNA from 1 species